CAUGAGGCACCUACUAAACCAGUCAGGCGACGGCGGUUCCUCUGUGAACAGGACAAGGUCUGCGUCUGGGGAUGCUGGCCGAGUUUAUUAGCUUCUGAGAACCAUUCUCAGGUUUCUAUAGGCAGGAGCCGGAAAAUAUAAAACACAUGACCACAAACACUGCCACUUCAUAAGCGACAGAAGAGCUUGGUUUUUCUUUUUAAUAGCUUAAGGAAUCUCUUUUCCUCCCUUUUCCAAAAGCAAAAAAAAAAAAAAUGAUAUGUUUGGAAUGGGUAGGUGCAUUAAGGGUUUAUGCGAUGUUGAAAGGAGUGCCUGUGUAUAUGACAAAUACACACCAGUUUAAAGGGUUUGCUAUUGACCGUGUAACAUCAAAAGGCCUUAGUCUGCUCUUGCCAGCACAGACUCUCAGCAGGGUAAAGUCAGUACAGGACGCUCUUUUAAAUACUGAAGCUGGGUGAGUAGGUAGCUCAGCAUUCCAUCAGUCAACCAUACAGUGAUCAGCCAGUGAGGAGUGCCCCAAGGAGAAGAAAAUGGGGCAUCAACACAGGCACCCUUGACUGCUUUAAAAACACACACACACACACACAACUAAGACAUUACAUCUAAGAUCAAUGGCCCAUAAUAUUCACAAAGUAUAACAUCUACCACAGAAUAAUUUUUGAGAAAGGGAGCUUGACAGGUUUUUUAAGUCUUCUGGCGUUUACCAGGACUACGCCUAAAACUGCCCCCAAACCGAUGAAUAUGUCUUGUUUCUAAAAUCCUCUGCAGAAAGAUUCUCUGGCAUCUUGUUCAAUGAUUAAGCCUUUUUUACUGUAAGAAACUUUUUUUCCUUUUAGUUAUUUUUAAAACAUCUACAGCACAAGACUAUCUUUUGGCAUUUAAAAAUUAUUAAAAAUUCGAUCGUACUCAAAAGUAGAUAGAAGAAUAUCAUGGCCCAUCAUAUAGGUUAAAAAAUUUUCAAGAUUUUGCCAGAUUUGAAUCACUU